rnacentral:rRNA from 1 species
UGGGGAAUAUUGCACAAUGGGCGCAAGCCUGAUGCAGCCAUGCCGCGUGUAUGAAGAAGGCCUUCGGGUUGUAAAGUACUUUCAGCGGGGAGGAAGGGAGUAAAGUUAAUACCUUUGCUCAUUGACGUUACCCGCAGAAGAAGCACCGGCUAACUCCGUGCCAGCAGCCGCGGUAAUACGGAGGGUGCAAGCGUUAAUCGGAAUUACUGGGCGUAAAGCGCACGCAGGCGGUUUGUUAAGUCAGAUGUGAAAUCCUCGGGCUCAACCUGGGAACUGCAUCUGAUACUGGCAAGCUUUAGUCUCGUAGAGGGGGGUAGAAUUCCAGGUGUAGCGGUGAAAUGCGUAGAGAUCUGGAGGAAUACCGGUGGCGAAGGCGGCCCCCUGGACGAAGACUGACGCUCAGGUGCGAAAGCGUGGGGAGCAAACAGG